GAAAUGCGAUAAGUAGUGUGAAUUGCAGAAUUCAGUGAAUCAUCGAAUCUUUGAACGCACAUUGCGCCCUUUGGUAUUCCAAAGGGCAUGCCUGUUCGAGCGUCAUUUGUACCCUCAAGCUUUGCUUGGUGUUGGGCGUCUUGUCUCUAGCUUUGCUGGAGACUCGCCUUAAAGUAAUUGGCAGCCGGCCUACUGGUUUCGGAGCGCAGCACAAGUCGCACUCUCUAUCAGCAAAGGUCUAGCAUCCAUUAAGCCUUUUUUUCAACUUUUGACCUCGGAUCAGGUAGGGAUACCCGCUGAACUUAA
rnacentral:ncRNA from 2 species